CGGGCGGAUCCCCGACGAGAAUGCUAACCACCGAUUGGCUGAUGGAAGUGAAGGAGGCGGGCACUAGGAUGACUGAAGUUUAAAGAGGGUGGAAGAAAGUUUCAAGAGUCAGGGAGAGCAAGGAGGGGCAGGGGAGUGGGACUGGCUCCAGAACGCAGGGCCGAGAGAGGCCCUCGGUGCGGCGGCCCUAGCAAGGAAAAAACUUGGAUAGAAGAGCUGCCGAACUCCCCGAGCAAAAGUUAUUAUCCUUUGAGGCAAAGACUCCGGAGUCUGGUUGAUGGAAGGUAAUACAGAGUCCUGCAUACCGCUGUGUGACCUCAAAUUGGACAACCUCUCUGAGCCACAGCAUCUUCGGCUGAUAAGUGGAGAUAAUUAUACCCUCCCAAGUUGUUGUACAAGAGUUUGAGCAAGCUCCAGGAGUUGGUGAUGGACAGGGAAGCCUGGCGUGCUGCAGUCCAUGGGGUCACAAACUGUCGGACACGACUGAGCGACUGAACUGAAGUUGUUGUAAAGAUUACAUGAGUUCCUGUUGGGAAAGGAAAUGGCAAUCCACUCCGGUGUUCUUGCCUGGAGAAUCUCAUGGACGGAGAGGCCUGGUGGGCUGCAGUCUAUGGGGUUGCAAAGAGUUGGACACAACUAAGCAGGACACAAUUAAGUUGGACACAACUAAGUAUCCAUGAGGAGGGCUGUCAACAUUCCAUCCUGGAAAACCUUUACUAAGAUCGAUGUUUCCACAAAGCCUCCUCUUUUGACCCUCUCAUUCUUCAUUCCAAAACAAUGGACUCACAUCACCCAGAAUUCCACUUUGCUGUGGUAAUGAAACUCAGACAUCUGAUUUACCUUUGUAACUCUCAAAUAGCUUUAUUGCUUGGAAAUCAACUCAUCCUCAUUUAUUUUCCCUUUCUGUUACUUUCAGCUUAAAUACACAUAAAGAACUCUUCUUUCCUAUAGCUAUCCACAGGAAGUAAGUAUUUUAAAACUAUUGAAUCAAAUGUCUUGGUGUGUAGGGAAUUAUGUUUUUGCAGACUCUUGAUGAUUAAGGUUUCUAAGAAUGCCAGUGGCCAUUAGAGGUUUUUUUCUUUUCCCUACUAAAAUAGACCCAACUUCAGGAAAAUUUGAGAGAAGUGUAAGGCUGGGCUAACCUGACUUUUACACACAGGCAACGUAGUCAAGCAGACUGUGUGAGUUCAAAUUCUGGUUCCUAUAGUUACUUGUCAUGUAAACUUGUAUAGGUUACUUUAAUUCUUUGUGUCUUGUCUGUAAAAUGAGAUUCUAAAAGCACCUACCGCAAAGGGUUACUCUGAGGAGUAAAAGACACUUGGAACAAUGCCCUGAACAUAAUGAAUGCUCAAUAAGUGUUAGUGGUGCUUGUGUUGUUAUCACUGAUAUUAAAAAUUUCAUACCAUGUUAGCACAGAAAUGAGAAGCAAUUUGAUUUAAGAGGGAUAAGUAUCAAUCAUGGCUUGGUUCCUGAAAAAUGUCACUAAUACUUGUUUAAAAGAAAAUAGGAUACUUAUUAGUCUGACUCCAAAUUAAAAGGAGAAAAUUCCUUUCUGUCUCAAGCUACUUAAAAAAAAUCUUUAUUUGUUUAUUUAUUUAUGGCUAUUCUGUAUGGCAUGUAGUUCUCUGACCAGAGAUCAAAUCUGUGCCCCCUUCCAUGGAAGAGUCCUGACCACUGGACCAGCAGGGAAUUCCCUAAAGCUACUUCUUAAUGCUAAGAAAGCAUGAAAUGUUAUAAAAUGUAUAAUAAACACAAUAUAACUAAAAAAUAUUCCUUCAGUUUCCAAAGUGAGGGGAUAUAUGUAUACCUACGACUGAUUCAUGUUGAGGUUUGACAGAAAACAACAAAAUUCUGUAAAGCAAUUAUCCUUCAAUAAAAAAAAUUAAUAAAAAAGAAUAACAAAAAAAUUCCUUCAAAAAAAAGCCUAGAUUUUAGUUAUGAUGAGAAGCCGUUACAUUACUACCUUGAGACAUUUGCUGAGAGGGAAGCACAAUUAUAUAAUCAAGUAUAAUGAAUGCAUAGUCAUUUAUUUAUAUUGCAACUUAUUCUAGAAAGAAGUAGAGGCUGCUAUAAUGAGUGAAUCAUAAGAGAAACAUAAAGACAAGAAAAUCUUCUAAUGUAGUAGGCUAGCUUUCAAUGCAUAUAGAAUACGUUGUAAAAAAAAUGUUGCAAAGGAAUACAAAUAAAAAAUAGAAAAUGCUCCCUCUAUGUUUUUAUUGCUGGCCCCACAUUUCCUUUUUGAAGAAUCAAAAUUUCACUUGAAUCUUUCCCAUCCUUCAUUCCCCAUAUUCAGUUGGUAGCCACGACUUCUUAGUUUUGCCUUUGCAGUAUUUCUUGGACCCACACCUUUUCUUUAUUUCUACUGCCAAGCCCUAGUUCAUGUUCUCUCUUUAAUAUUAAUAGUUUCCUAUUCAUCUCUUUGCCCCAGCCUCUCCCCUCUCCAUCCUCCUUCCCUUUACUCCUACCACUGUAACUCAUCCAAUACAAUGCUACUGAAUUAAUUUUUUUAAAGCAUUGAUACAUCUCUGGCUUUGUCAUUUGCUUAUUAAAAACCUUCCAUGCCUUCUCACUGCUUUCUGUUUUUGAUACAUUUUUGUUUGUACCUCUUCUCUGUAAUGUUUUCUUUCUUAUAAUAAAUUUUAUAUACAUUUGAGCAUCUCUACUAGAGAGUAAACUCCUUUCAUCAUUUCUCCUCCCCCAACAUCUAGCAUAUUGUCUUAAGUUAUCAGUAAAUGUUGGGGGAAAAAAGAGUAAAUAAAACCUGAGUAAAAAAAUUUAUCUUGUUUAUUUGCAUUUCUAAUUGCUAUAACUAUAUCUUUAUAAUGACGUAAUUUGAUGAGGACAAAGAUAGAUAAAACUUACCAAAUUAAGAACAUGUAACUAAUCUAAGACCUUAAUUACAGAUCUGCAAGAUGGUCACAUAAUUCCUUUAAAUUGAAUAGAACACAUUUUUUCAUCUUGUUGCCUGCUAUGUAAGUUGUGCCAACCCAAAUAUUACUCAAAAGUUAAGGAAAGGCAGUAGAAUGGAAAAAAACAACAAGCAGUAAUUGAAAAUAAAAACGCUUUGAAAGAUGGCUUGAAGCCAGAGAUCCUAAUGAAAAUGAUAAACCAGAAAGCCUUUACACGUAAGGUAGCAAGCUAUUUAGUAAGUUGGAUGCCUCUGAGAAAAUUUAUUAAUACUUGACCACUGAAAGAAGAGUAAUUCAUUUAUGCAGACAAACAGCAUUCUUGGCUUGUGCAUUUACGUGUUGUGUGACGCCAGAGUAUGAUUUUAUGAAGAUAAAUUUUUAGCUUGUGUACAAUUUGCAUUGUAGCAUGUUCAGUCUCAGAAGAAAAUCCAUCUGAGGACUUCAUCAGAUGCUAAACAGAGCUUAGAAAAAUAAGCAAUUGUUUUAAUAACAACUCAGGUAAGGUAAAGAUAACCAUCUCUUAGUAUCUAUAAUCAUUACAAGGAUUAAGGUUUGUGUCCUUCCAUAAGAUGGUAAUACCCACAGCUACUUCUAGGCAUUGCAAUUGCUGCUAUAUAAAUCUCUGAAAUAUUUCUCUUCGUGGUAUCCUAAAAGUUUAUUGAAUUGAAUUUGAAUGAAAGAUAGGAGCUAUAUUACAUUCAAAUUUUUCAUAUAAGGCAUGUAUUUGCAAAACAAACCCCCUUCUCCCCGUGAAUGUGGGCUUGAUUUAAUGACUUGCUUCCAAAGAAUGGAGUAUGGAAAGGGGAAAGUAGUAAUGUUACAGUGGAGCAAUUCAGCAAACAUCAUCCUAACCAAGCGAUGAAGAUUAACACCUUCAGAGAUGUCGCAAGAAUCACUGAAGAACACUUCACCUCUGUGGGAUUCUUUCCCAAAACCUGUAUCUCCGGUUUAAUCAUUUAAAAAAGUCAGAUGAAGCCAAACUGAGGGGCACUCUACAGAAUGCCUGGCCCAAACUCCCCAAACCAUCAAGAUUAGAAAACAAGAAAAGAUUGAGAAACCGUCACAGUGAAAAGAGACAGUGGAUACAUGAAAGCUAAGUGCAAUGUAGUUGCCUGGAUUGGAUCCUCAAUCAGAAAGAAGUGACAGAAAACUGGCGUAAUCCAAAUAAAGUCUCUGUGCUCUGCUAAGUCACUUCAGUCGUGUUCGACUCUGUGAGACCCCAUAGACAGCAGCCCACGAGGCUCCUCCAUCCAUGGGAUUUUUCAGGCAAGAGUACUGGAGUGGGGUGCCAUUCGUUCAGUUAAUAGUAAUGUGCUAACAUUGGUUUCUUAGAUUUAUCAAAUGCACUGUGGAAAUGGAAGGUGUUAACAAUAAGGGAAGCCGGGUGAAAGGUAUGACAACUUUGUAGUAUCUUUGAAACUUUUCUGUAAAUAUUAGAUUUGCAAAAUAAAGAGUUUAUUUUUUUAAAUCUCAGUUCUUCUGCCACUGACAUGCAGCAGACAGACACUCUCUGCCAUUGCUGUCUUGUGCUGUGUUAUAUCCAGGAGCACUGGUUAACGAUGCUGUUUGGUGAAAUGGACAAGAACGUGUAUAGGAAAAAGCAGUUUUAAGACAGGUCACAGAAAUCUUGAAGAAAAUCAAAAGCUUUGGAAACAGUGCCAAGAUAAUACAAAUUCAUUCCACUGUAUUGUGACUCCAUUUAAAUACAAGUAAUUUCUAUGGUUAUGCUUUUCUCAGGAAAAGUUAUAUCCUUUUAUCGGUGUAGAGUCUUAAACUACUGUUACCCUCUGGGGAGAGCUACAUUUUGUUGGAUAGUGAUAACAAGGUUGCAGCCUACAUGUACCCUCUGAAAGAAUAUGAGCGUUUCACGUUUUUUGUUUUGCUUUGGUUUCGAGUAGAAUUUGGCUGCUGACUUCUUUUAAAUGUGAGCAAAGGAGAUGCCAUUUUAAAAGCUGAUAUAAUCCUAAAACUGAAGAUCAGAAGACUAGGUCAUAGCAUUCUCCAUCCCAUCCUUGUUUCCUCAGUGAUGGAUUGUCCCUGCUGAAUAUUCAUGAUACCAUGACUAACUAUUCUUGAAUGUUUACAAGAAUAUAACUUUAUUACUGCCUUUGGGAGGCUACUUUAUAUUCUUACGGUAAAAUUUCUUCUUGAUUAAUUUUAAUAGUCCUAUAAGUGAAUUUUGCUCAUUAUUACCAGUUUACCCUUACCCACUACUCUUAAUAGAUUUUAAUCCUUGUCAUACAUUUGCAAACACUAAUAUCGUGGGUUAACCUAUAUUUUUCUUUCAAAGGGAAAAUUUCGAGAACUACUGUGGUUUCUGCAUAUGUAUCAAGAAGAAUGCUUUCGUAUCAAAUCCAUUAUUGAAAGAUUCAUUCAUCACUGUGCUGAGAUGAUUACAGAUACCUCCUGAAAAUCACAAACUCAUUGAGUCUGCCACUAGGUAAAGUGUUGCAAUAACAAGCCUUAUUUUCCUGUGGAUUCAAGUAACAAAUGUUACCUGAUUCUCAGUAGAGAUACAGUGAAGGAGCAAUGUCUCUUUGGACUAGGACAAACAGUGACAAUCAAAAGUAUAGAAUAUCAGGACAUCAGGAUUCCAUAUAGCCUGAGCCCCCAAAGAGGGUAUGAUACUGAAAGACAGACUGUUUGUUUUCCAAAGGCUUUCUUCCUAUCUGAUACUCCCUGUCCUCAAGCAUAAUGGGACCUUGGUGGGAGGGAGAAAAGACUUCUGAGGACGAGGGGAAAAAAAGCUCACCAUCCUUCCUUCGUUUUCCUCCAUCCCUCCUUCCCUCCCCUGUCACCUGGGCAACAGGGCAAGGCUCCAUCAGAAAGUUGGCCUCAAAGACUUGAACUCAUUGGUGUUGCUGGCUCUGCUCUUUAGGAUGGGCUCUAGAACAACACCCGCUGCGCCUUGUGCAGAGAAUGGCAAUAUUUACCUUGCAGGCAAGAAGAACUUUGGAACUUCUGUUCAGUUGUUGAAAUGCCAAAUAGCUGCUAUCUCCAACAAGAUGUGCCUGAUUUUCCUUACAUGAAGACUCAUUUGUGUCACCUUAAAAAGCAACUUUCCAUGUGGAUACAUUUCCUUACAUGCAAAACAUUCCUGCUUCUAACAGAGCAGUUCUGCUUCACUGUAAACCUAGUAUUCCUUGAUUUGUAUUUGAUGCAGGGCCUGGUUCUUCAUGGGUUCCAUGUUUUUCUUUCUUUUAUAGGUAAACUUUGCUUAUAUUGGUGGUGAUUUUGUUUCUGCUCUCUCUCUGCAUUUAGCAAGGACGCCCACCAGAAUGGAAGCUAUGAAGAAUGGAGACAAUUUCCUACUUACAAAUAUUUCGUAUCUCCAGAGUCUAACACAGUACUUGAUACAUAAAAUCUAAUUCAUUCCUAUUAAUUAAAAUAUACAGAAAGUCAUUUUCUUUUCCCUUUCUUUCUACAGAUGUCCGUCACUAGAGUAUGCACCAGAAUUCAGGGUUCAUACAUUGGACAAUUCUGUGAUGUCCAGGGUUCUACAUCACUAAUAGGUUCUCAGGAGUUGUGAGCAAAUUUACUAAGUGUCUUUCUUGUUGGUUCAACAUGGGUUCUCACAAAUGACCUGAUUCUACAGCAAAUAUCUAUUACCUCUUGGUGUCUGUUAUCUACCAACCUAUUUCUCUAGGGGCCACUCCUUUUCUAACUUCUCAUGUUGCUGAAGUGUUUAGUGUCUUCUAUUUCUGACCUCAUUUGCAGAAGUGGAACAGCUUAGAAAACCUAAAGCAGUCUCUAGAGAGUUGAAAGCAGACUGGUGAAUGACAUCAUAACUCCAGGGAAGGGAUUCAACAAAGGGAGGACCUAGACCAGCCGAAGUCAUGAAUCAGCCAUCUAAUCAUGUCCACCAUCUAGCUCUAGAGGAAGGAAUUUCGUGGAUACAAAUAAAGUCGUUGGAACCCUAUGGCAAGUGAGUUGCAAACUUCUCUGUUAACUAAAUUCUACUGCAUUGACAGGACCCCCUUCCCGGUUCUAAUACAUCCUUUUAACAAUCUCGGUAGCUUUGAUGCUGCUGUUUCACUAAUGUGGGCACACACCUCCAUCCUUUUAACAACCUCGGUAGCUUUGAUGCUGCUGUUUCACUAAUGUGGGCACACGCCUCCCAUCCUUAUCUCUUUCCACCAAAUCACCCAUUAGUAGCUCAGCCUUGUCUCAGUCUAGAUUCCCUUCACUUGCCCCUUUUCCCUCACCCCCAACACCUCUGGCUAUUUUGUUUCCAACCAACAUUAUACUGUGGGAAAAUGUAUUCCGUCUUAAGAUUCCAGGGCCUCCCUUGCAAUUCUCUCUGGGCCCUGUUCCUUUCCCUAGCUCCUGUUGACUCUGGGCUGGGGGCAGGGUCUGCUCCCCACCUUCUUUCCUAAGCCAUUGUUCCUCCAACUUGUGUCUCCACGUCUCCACAAUGACCCUACUAUGCUCAGUAUUUCCAAAGGCCCAAGAGCAACUCCCUAUCUUUCAUAUUCUUUCCUAGUGUACCACACUCAGGAAUUCAUUUCUUUCUCCAAAUUAUUUUUAUGCAUGCCAACUAGCCAUCUUGAUGCCCGUCUCUCGUUCUCCUACUUUGAACACAUUGUUCACUCCACAUAUGGCUUAUUUAAUGUAAAAGUCAAUUUUGAUCUAGAAAUCAAAGAAGAAGAAAUAAAAAGAAAG
ensembl:lncRNA